CCAAACAAAAAGGAUAACCAUGUAUAUUUGUGGGAAUUUAGAUAAAACCCAAUUCACUUCUACCUAGCUACUGUCGACUGUUUUCAAAAAAAAAAGGGAAGAGAACAGAGCCAUCUUCCUCACCCUUCAAGUUUAAAUUCGUAGAGAUUUUCAAGUAGCAGCUGCACUACUUUAAAAGAAGAAGGUGAAUUUCUUCGAUUCUAUGUUUUCCUACAAUUCUAGCUUGAAGAAAGUUUAUUCCUUGAAUUCUAGGGUUCUUCGAAAUUUGGGAUUAUAUUCUAGAGUUGAAGUAUGACUUCAAUAUUGAUAUAUAUUGUGUUUUUGAUGUUCCUAAGCAUGAUUGUGGUGGGUAAUUGCAGUAAUUGUUACUCGAUUUUGGAUUUUUCUCAAGUUAGUUCUAGGUUGAGUUCGAAAAUUCUGAUUAUGUUCUUGAAUAAAUGAGUUUAUAUAUGUGCUCUUGAGCUGGAAUUAUGUUAUAUAUGAGUAUAUUAUGAGUUUGCACUCUAGGGUUGUGAGAUUGAUUUUGUUAGUUUAGGGGAAGUUGGGGCUUUUGAAUUGAGAAGGUUUAUAUGCUAUUGUUUGAUGGAGAUAUGUAUAUUAUGAUGUGAUUUUAUUAAUUAUGGAGAUUAGAACAGCCCUACUACCCAAUUCUUUUAUGAAGCUCUGUUGUAUAAAGAGAGGGAAGUGAUAAAGUUGCUAUGUGUAUGCAUGUAGUUGAGAGUAGUAGCAUUGGUGGGGUUUAAUUUUAGCUCAUUAAGGUUUCUUUUAAAGAGAUUGAGAUGAUUAAAGAUAUUAGUUUAUUAAACUAUAUAUGCAUAUGUUUAUUGAGAGUUGAUGAACAUCUUUUAACUCAUUCUUUUAUCUUUCCUUAUUGAAUUCAGAAAAAUGAUUUUAGUUUAUUGAUGAUGUGAUGUGAGGAAAUGUUAGGAUAAUAAGGGAAUAGCAAACAUGAGUUAUUAUUACAAUAUUAUAUUAUAUAUAUAUAUUUUCUUACUUAUUUUUCUUACAAAAUUUUAUCUAUUUAAAGGUUCCGGCUAGGAACGAGCCCGACACUAGAGUACGAAGUAAGAGAAACAUAUCAGGUGGGCUUACUAACUCAAGAAACAAUGAUGCAUACUUUAUUAUAUAAAGUUUAAGUGUAUGCAUUUAUUUUCAAAUUGUUGACUUGCCAAUGUUUAAGUUUUGUAUGAUACCAUCUACAUAGAAGAACGAAUUCGAGUCCUGAGCGAGUCAGGAUUUGUGUACACAGAGUGACGGUUAACCUUGAGUUAGCUUGUCGUUACGUUUGGGAAGGAGGCCUACUUCUCAACGUGUUUAUUGAGACUAGUAGAUAUGGUACAUACUUACAUGAGAACUUAGUCUGCGCAGACACUUUCAAAUACUAUGUAAAAACAGUUUAGCAAACACAGGUUGCUUCAGAAAAUCCCUUGUGUAUUGCUUAAAGUGGCAAGUUCAAUAUAUAGCAUUAUCAUGCAGAGUUUUAAAUUUUUUCGGCAUAUGUUCACUGAGUGUUUGUGGUACUCAGCCCUGCAUAUCUUUUUAAAUGUGCAGGUUAAGUUUGGAUGAAGAUGGAAGUGUGCUGAGCUGGAGCUUUUUGUUUAUGUAAAUAGUAAUAGGCUCAGGAUGUUGUGUCUUCAUACAUAAUGUCCCAUGAUGUACUCCGCUGCAACACUUUAUUUCUCUUAUCACUUUUGACGUGUUGUAGAAUGUUUUAAAACCUUAACCUGUAUAUGAGCGUGAUAAGUCUUGGUUAUGAUAUUUAUUUGGUCUAAACUUCUUUUGUUAAAGUUUGAUGGCUAUGUAUGUAAGUUAAUUAUACGU
rnacentral:lncRNA from 1 species